rnacentral:rRNA from 1 species
CACCUCCAGCAUCCCUAGUAUUGGAGGCACUGCCUGCCCAGUGACUAAACGUUAAACGGCCGCGGUAUUCUGACCGUGCAAAGGUAGCAUAAUCAUUUGUUCUCUAAAUAAGGACUUGUAUGAAUGGCCACACGAGGGUUUUACUGUCUCUUACUUCCAAUCAGUGAAAUUGACCUCCCCGUGAAGAGGCGGGGAUAAAUCAACAAGACGAGAAGACCCUAUGGAGCUUUAACUAAGUAACUCGAGGAAAAUAAAUUCAACCACCAAGGGAUAACAACACUCCUUAUGAGUUAACAGUUUCGGUUGGGGUGACCUCGGAGAACAGAAAAUCCUCCGAGCGAUUUUAAAGACUAGACUAACAAGUCAAACCAAACCAUCGCUUAUUGAUCCAAAAACUUGAUCAACGGAACAAGUUACCCUAGGGAUAACAGCGCAAUCCUAUUCAAGAGUCCAUAUCGACAAUAGGGUUUACGACCUCGAUGUUGGAUCAGGACACCCCGAUGGUGCAACCGCUAUCAAAGGUUCGUUUGUUCAACGAUUAAAGUCCU